AAAAAAGAUAAACACUAGUUUCCGUGUCCAACGUUUUAACGUCCAUCUUAUUUAGAAAAAUUAUGAAAAAAAUUAAAAAGAUAAGUCACGUAUAAAGUAUUAAUCAUGUUUUAUCAUCUAACAACAAUGAAAAUACUAAUUAUAAAAAAAAUUAUAUAAGACGGACAGUCAAACGUUGGCACGGAAAUCCAGGAUUUGUCUUUUU
rfam:Oryza sativa Japonica Group DNA, chromosome 2, cultivar: Nipponbare, complete sequence.